AUUGAACGCUGGCGGCAUGCUUUACACAUGCAAGUCGAACGGUAACAGGUCUUCGGAUGCUGACGAGUGGCGAACGGGUGGGUAAUGCAUCGGAACGUGCCCAGUCGUGGGGGAUAACGCAGCGAAAGCUGCGCUAAUACCGCAUACGAUCUAUGGAUGAAAGCGGGGGACCGUAAGGCCUCGCGCGAUUGGAGCGGCCGAUGUCAGAUUAGGUAGUUGGUGGGGUAAAGGCCCACCAAGCCAACGAUCUGUAGCUGGUCUGAGAGGACGACCAGCCACACUGGGACUGAGACACGGCCCAGACUCCUACGGGAGGCAGCAGUGGGGAAUUUUGGACAAUGGGCGCAAGCCUGAUCCAGCAAUGCCGCGUGCAGGAAGAAGGCCUUCGGGUUGUAAACUGCUUUUGUACGGAACGAAACGGCUCUCUCUAAUACAGAGGGCUAAUGACGGUACCGUAAGAAUAAGCACCGGCUAACUACGUGCCAGCCGCCGCGGUAAAAC
rnacentral:rRNA from 1 species